rnacentral:rRNA from 1 species
UAUCCCCGUCCAAGCAGUUAGGCUGGGAAAUAGGCAAAUCCGUUUCCCAUAAGGCUGAGCUGUGAUGGCGAGCGAAAUAUAGUAGCGAAGUUCCUGAUUCCACACUGCCAAGAAAAGCCUCUAGCGAGGUGAGAGGUGCCCGUACCGCAAACCGACACAGGUAGGCGAGGAGAGAAUCCUAAGGUGAUCGAGAGAACUCUCGUUAAGGAACUCGGCAAAAUGACCCCGUAACUUCGGGAGAAGGGGUGCUCUGUUAGGGUGCAAGCCCGAGAGAGCCGCAGUGAAUAGGCCCAGGCGACUGUUUAGCAAAAACACAGGUCUCUGCGAAGCCGUAAGGCGAAGUAUAGGGGCUGACGCCUGCCCGGUGCUGGAAGGUUAAGAGGAGCGCUUAGCGUAAGCGAAGGUGCGAAUUGAAGCCCCAGUAAACGGCGGCCGUAACAAUAACGGUCCUAAGGUAGCGAAAUUCCUUGUCGGGUAAGUUCCGACCCGCACGAAAGGCGCAACGAUCUGGGCACUGUCUCAACGAGAGACUCGGUGAAAUUAUAGUACCUGUGAAGAUGCAGGUUACCCGCGACAGACGGAAAGACCCCGUGGAGCUUUACUGCAGCCUGAUAUCGAAUGUUGGUACAGCUUGUACAGGAUAGGUAGGAGCCUUGGAAACCGGAGCGCCAGCUUCGGUGGAGGCAUCGGUGGGAUACUACCCUGGAUGUAUUGACCUUCUAACCCGCCGCCCUUAUCGGGCGGGGAGACAGUGUCAGGUGGGCAGUUUGACUGGGGCGGUCGCCUCCUAAAAGGUAACGGAGGCGCCCAAAGGUUCCCUCAGAAUGGUUGGAAAUCAUCCGCAGAGUGUAAAGGCACAAGGGAGCUUGACUGCGAGACCUACAAGUCGAGCAGGGACGAAAGUCGGGCUUAGUGAUCCGGUGGUUCCGCAUGGAAGGGCCAUCGCUCAACGGAUAAAAGCUACCCCGGGGAUAACAGGCUUAUCUCCCCCAAGAGUCCACAUCGACGGGGAGGUUUGGCACCUCGAUGUCGGCUCAUCGCAUCCUGGGGCUGUAGUCGGUCCCAAGGGUUGGGCUGUUCGCCCAUUAAAGCGGUACGCGAGCUGGGUUCAGAACGUCGUGAGACAGUUCGGUCCCUAUCCGUCGCGGGCGCAGGAAAUUUGAGAGGAGCUGUCCUUAGUACGAGAGGACCGGGAUGGACGCACCGCUGGUGUACCAGUUGUUCUGCCAAGGGCAUCGCUGGGUAGCUAUGUGCGGACGGGAUAAGUGCUGAAAGCAUCUAAGCAUGAAGCCCCCCUCAAGAUGAGAUUUCCCAUUCCGCAAGGAAGUAAGAUCCCUGAAAGAUGAUCAGGUUGAUAGGUCUGAGGUGGAAGUGUGGCGACACAUGGAGCUGACAGAUACUAAUCGAUCGAGGACUUAACC